rnacentral:rRNA from 1 species
AGAACGAACGCUGGCGGCAGGCCUCAAACAUGCAAGUCUAGGGGGUGUAGCAAUACAUCACCGGCGGACGGGUGCGUAACACGUGGGAAUAUACCUUUCGGUACGGAACAACUGCGGGAAACUGCAGCUAAUACCGUAUACGUCCUUGCGGAGAAAGAUUUAUCGCCGAAGGAUUAGCCCGCGUUCGAUUAGCUAGUUGGUGAGGUAAUGGCUCACCAAGGCGACGAUCGAUAGCUGUUCUGAGAGGAAGAUCAGCCACACUGGGACUGAGACACGGCCCAGACUCCUACGGGAGGCAGCAGUUGGGAAUCUUGGACAAUGGGGGAAACCCUGAUCCAGCCAUGCCGCGUGAGUGAUGAAGGCCUUCGGGUUGUAAAGCUCUUUUACCCGGGAAGAUAAUGACUGUACCGGGAGAAUAAGCUCCGGCUAACUUCGCGCCAGCAGCCGC